UUCACUUUUACAGGUCUCUGAUUUUGCCGCUAUUGCUCUUUUGUCUGUAAGGUUAUCCUUUCCUUUGUUUUUGAACUAUUGCUCAGAAUUCAUGACCCAACGUGAAAUAUCACUUUCUCCAUGGAAAGGGGAAAAUGUGCAUUUUUGCAUAUUUCAAUGAUGUGUAGACUGCAAGAUCCAAUAAAAGGAAUAUCUAUAAACAGUCAAAACACAAACAGAAUUCAUUGUAACCAAAAAUAUGAAUCCUGAGAGCUUUUGGAGACCUCAAUGUGAAAUAUACAUACUAGAUUAUCAAAACAAAAAACACAUGAUGAUUUCAACAGACAUAAAAGAGCAUUUGACAAAAUCCAACAUUAUUCACGAUAAGAAUCUAGAAACUAAGAAGAGAAGGAAACGUCUCUAACCUGGCAAAGAACAUCUACCAAAAUCCCAGAGUAAACAUUAUGUUUCAUGGCAAAAUAUGUAAAUGCUUUCCACUUGACAUCACAAACAAGACAAAGGGCCAGGUGCAGUGCCUCAUGAAUGUAAUUUCACUAGUUGGGAGGAUCGCUUGAGCUGAGGAGGAUGAGACCAGCCUAGGCAACAGAGUGAUAACCAAUCUCUACAAUAAACAAAAAUUAUGAAAAAUCAGUUUAAUAAAAAAACAAGACAAAGAUGUCUACUCUUGCCAUAUUUAUUCAAGAUUUUACCAGAAUUUCUAACCAGGAAAAUUCAUCAGCUUUAACCGGGGAAUCAUAUGUAGCACAAUCUCGUUGAGACCACCACCAACACAGUGAAAAAGAGAAAAAGGGGCUGCACAGUUUCACUUGCUUCCUUUGAGGACUAUAUAUUAGGAUUGCAGAUUCCAUAUGUGUAAGAUUCUACCAUGGAUCCUGAUGCAUCUUCCUGAGAAAGCACUCUCUUCUGAUUGAAAACCACUGGAUCACAGAGAAUAAGGGGAAAUAGGGACAGAAAUAAGAUCUCAGAUUAUAAUGGUAUAUCUUGGACAUGAGGCCAUUAGAAUCCUGUUCCACCAGGAGCAGAAGUUUUAAAACUUAUAAUCAACAUCUGAACCAUCUUCCUACACGAGGAAUUUUUCAAAAGAGGAAUGGCCAUCGCCCAGAGAUCCUGUCCUUGGAAGUGGAUGCAGUAAAGUGAAGCUUUAAAACUUAUAAUCAACAUCUGAACCAUCUUCCUACACGAGGAAUUUUUCAAAAGAGGAAUGGCCAUCGCCCAGAGAUCCUGUCCUUGGAAGUGGAUGCAGUAAAGUGAACUUGCUAAAUCCUAUUAAUCUUAGGCCCACAGAAUUAUAUCUCGAAAAAUCAGUAUUUUUCCAGUUUGUUGAUAGAAGUUGCAAAUGGACUUAAUUUCACUUGGGAAGACUGGGAGGCAAGUUCACAGCACUGAUUACCAACUUAGAUCUGAAUUCAUUAAGACAGAACACACUCACAUGCAACAAGUUACAUGAGGUGGGUUUAUUACUUAUAUACAGGCAGCAAGAGGCAUCAGAUUCCUGAGUCAUUAUAAGCUGGUCCCCCAAGGCUUGGGAAAGCUGCCUAGGGUGGAGAGAUGUGGAAAAGCACCAAUAUAAAAUACUGACAAUGAAAAAUAUUAUUUAAAAAUAAACAGAAAAGAUAGGAAACAGUAGUAACUCUAAAGACUUUUUCCUAAAUGACUGAAACUAAGAGAAAAGUGAUUAAGAGUUAUGAAAGGUAGAAUGUGGGGCUCCAACACUUGUCAAACAGCAUUUCAGAGAGAAUACAAAGAAAAGCAAUAGAAAACUGAGAGGUCCCUGCUAGGAAUUCUAUAUAACCUAGAAAUUAUACCAAAUUCCUCCUAUUAAAAACAUAUUCUGAGAAACUGAGCAGAAAGUAAUCCACAGCUUGGAUUACUCUAUAAAGAAACAAGAUUAUCCAAAAAAAUUAUCUUUGGCAUUAAAUGCCAGAAGAAAAUAUAUUUUCAAAAUAAUAUAGCAAAAUCAAUGUUGGCCUAAAAUUGUCUUCCUUAGCCAAGUUACCAUUCAAGAGUUCAUGACCACUGAGGACACUUUCAGGCACAGAAGUUUUGAGAGGUCACCACACAUACACUGCAGUUAAGGGAAUGCUAAAGGUUACACGUCAAGAAGAAAAGUGAGCAUAGAAGGAAGACAGGAAAAAAAUAAACAAUGUUGAAUAGAAACCCCCUAGAAGAAUUCAACUCUUGAUCACCUUAAGAUUUUACAUAUUUCCAUUUGUUAGUUUUUGUUGUUUCUCUUGACGUUCAUUUAUGUUAUAGUUUCCAUAAUGUCACCAUGGGUCCUCAUGUUUAUUUUUUCUUUCUCUUUUGAUAAAGAAGUCAUUUUAAGCGAUAGCCUUUCUAUUUUAUUCUGAGAACAGCAUUUUCUGUAUCCCACAGGUUUGGGCAUUAAGUGGUCUGAUGUGGUACUUCCAAGGUGAUGUUAAAGUUCAGUUUUGAUUUACUCUCUUAAAAAAUUGGUUUCAGGAGAGCAUUCCUUAACAUCCAGGUAUUAAAAAUAUUUUGGCACUUUUGAUUUAUAAUUUUACUGCAGUAGGGUUAAAUCUGGCCUAUAAAAUCUCUAUAAA